rnacentral:rRNA from 1 species
AUGAACGCUGGCGGCGUGCCUAAUACAUGCAAGUCGAGCGAACAGACGAGGAGCUUGCUCCUCUGACGUUAGCGGCGGACGGGUGAGUAACACGUGGACAACCUACCUAUAAGACUGGGAUAACUUCGGGAAACCGGAGCUAAUACCGGAUAAUAUAUUGAACCGCAUGGUUCAAUAGUGAAAGACGGUUUUGCUGUCACUUAUAGAUGGAUCCGCGCCGCAUUAGCUAGUUGGUAAGGUAACGGCUUACCAAGGCGACGAUGCGUAGCCGACCUGAGAGGGUGAUCGGCCACACUGGAACUGAGACACGGUCCAGACUCCUACGGGAGGCAGCAGUAGGGAAUCUUCCGCAAUGGGCGAAAGCCUGACGGAGCAACGCCGCGUGAGUGAUGAAGGUCUUCGGAUCGUAAAACUCUGUUAUUAGGGAAGAACAAAUGUGUAAGUAACUAUGCACGUCUUGACGGUACCUAAUCAGAAAGCCACGGCUAACUACGUG